GUAGGUGGCAAGCGUUGUCCGGAAUUAUUGGGCGUAAAGCGCGCGCAGGCGGUUCGUUUAAGUCUGAUGUGAAAGCCCACGGGCUCAACCGUGGAGGGUCAUUGGAAACUGGGAGAAACUUGAGUAACAGAAAGAGGAAAAGCGGAAUUCCACGUGUAGCGGUGAAAUGCGUAGAGAUGUGGAGGAACACCAGUGGCGAAGGCGGCUUUCUGGUCUGUAACUGACGCUGAGGCGCGAAAGCGUGGGGGAGCAAACAGGAUUAGAUACCCUGGUAGUCCACGCCGUAAACGAUGAGUGCUAAGUGUUAGGGGGUUUCCGCCCCUUAGUGCUGCAGCUAACGCAUUAAGCACUCCGCCUGGGGAGUACGGCCGCAAAGGCUG
rnacentral:rRNA from 1 species